rnacentral:lncRNA from 1 species
GCCGCGGUAGCUUGUGGGAAAAGUAGCUGGAAUUCCCAGAAUCCUUGCUGGAGUGCUAGUUGGCUGCGGGGACCUUGCUGCGCGGGCUGCUGUAGGACUGUCGCUCUAAGGAGUGCGCCCCGCAAGGGCUGGUAUGGUGGCAGGGAAACAGAAGAGGGCGCGGUGCGCGCGUCCUGGUGGUCCAGAUCAGGCUAGAAGGCAGGGCAGGGCAGUCCGGAACUGGCGCUUGUCCGAAGCCUCAGGCCUGUGGGUGCAGAGCCUCAAGGAUCUUUUCUGCCUUGUUCUGACACCAGCACAGUCCUAAGCACUGUCGGCUCCGGCACUGAGAUUUCACACCUUGGGCAGCCCUCGGCCUUGCCCAGCAGAACAUCACCCCUCCAGGACCUCCACUAAAGGCUCCUCAGGUUGGCAGGCGGCUGAGUCCCAGCGGAAAGCACGCGACCGCUAAGCCCUCUGGGAAGUGUAGUCCAGCUCUCCAAGAAUAACGGGACCACCAGAGCUGGGUCGUCAGUCCCUCUUUGCCACAAGACUGACCCCGAGCAAAGAACUCCGACCCACCCUGAAGUGAAAUGCUUCAUAGGUUUCAGCAAGUUGCCUAUUGAAGCUCAGAAGAACACAUUCCAUGAACUGUGAAGUUGCGGCAGCAGAGCCCUCUGGAAAAUGUAGUCCAGGCUGCGUCCCAAAACAGUGGAACUGAGACGCUUUCUGCCACAUCUAUUGCGGGAAUGAAGACCAUUCUCAGAAUCACACUGUCGCCAUUCCAGAAAUGUCAACAUCACUCUGAAAGGAUGCACUGUUAUUGUGAAGGGCCCCAGGGGAACCCUGUGAAGUGACUUCAAUCACAUUAAUGUAGGACUCAGUCUUCUUGGAAAGAAAAAGGAGAGGCUUGGAGUUGGCAAGUGGUGGGGAUAUAGAAAAGAACUGGCUAUUGUUCCCACUGCCUGUGUUCAGAACAUGAUCAAGGCAUUACACUGGGCUUCCCUUACAAGAUGGGGUCUGUGUAUGCUCACUUCCCCCAUCAGCGUUCAGGAGAAUGGUUCUUGUUGAAAUUUCCUGGGUGAAAAAUAAAUCCACAGGGUUGGGAUGAGGCCA